CCCAUACUCCCUUCCUCUCAUUCAACUUCACGUGAAAACUAAAACAAAGCAAAAACCUCCUUCUCUGUUCUUCCUCCUUCACGUUCGUUUGCUCCUCCUUGCGCAGCCACCACCUCACCACCGUCGGACGCCGCCUCCGUCGCUGCCGCCGCGGCCCAGCUGCGACCACCAAGCCAACCGCACCGCACCACCUGCACCUUCGCCGUGGCCCUGCCCAUUCGGCUUGCUCGUCCCUCCUUCCUCCUCCACGCAAGCACAGCAUUCUCUUGUUUCGGUUUGUUUGCGGCAGCCACCACCACCGCACGCACCACCAGGCCUGACAACCUCCGCAAGCCGCCGCCUUGCCGCCGCCGUGAUCUAUCCGCCGACCAACCCUUCCCUCUUCUCUUUUUGGCGGAGAAUUCUCUCUAGGCGACUUUUGAAAGUGUUAAAGUGGCCUAUCAGUUUGUUUACACAAGUCUCUAAGGAUCAAUAAGCAUUGUCCAUCUGCAGGUUUGAAGAUGUUGCAUCAUUGGGAUCGGGAAUAGAGAGCUUGUAUUUAGUUUUGAUUUGCUAAGUUGACUUGGGUUUGUUAAUUGGGACUUUAAACUUGUCGUACUAUUUAUAUUUCCUU